UACAGAGGGUGCAAGCGUUGUCCGGAAUUAUUGGGCGUAAAGCGCGCGCAGGCGGUCCCUUAAGUCUGAUGUGAAAGCCCACGGCUCAACCGUGGAGGGUCAUUGGAAACUGGGGGACUUGAGUACAGAAGAGGAAAGCGGAAUUCCACGUGUAGCGGUGAAAUGCGUAGAGAUGUGGAGGAACACCAGUGGCGAAGGCGGCUUUCUGGUCUGUAACUGACGCUGAGGCGCGAAAGCGUGGGGAGCAAACAGG
rnacentral:rRNA from 1 species